UCCCUCUUCCUCUUAUCCAAAUCCUUUCGGAGAAAACUCAUAACUCUCUUCCUGUUUUUCAAUCUCAGAACUCUAUCUCUUGUAAAGCUCCCUGUGGUGUGUUUUCUCUUGAAAGGCCAGAAAAGCACAAACACCUCCGUCGAUUGUAAACACCUCUGAUUUACACCUGCUAUAGGGUUCAACUUUGGGGCUUUCAUCUUCCAGAGUGCUUCAUGCAUAUGAAAACUUCAAAUUAGGAUGCUACAACAGGAAUUACAAGAUGAAGAUUAGAGAAUGCACAAAUUUCAGGAUAAAACAGCCUUAAUAGAUCAGUUCCCGUCUUUAUAAAAGCUUAUUUCAUAGAUAUAGUCAUGUGGCAUGAUCAGAUUCUAACCUGCUUGACCAAUAAGCACUGGCUAGCAUCUAUAUCAUCCGAUGGUACAAACAAGAAAGCUUGAAUGCAUUAAGAAUGUAGAUAACAACAGCUUGAAGUCUGCCAUGGAUCAUAUUUUAGAAGCUCGGCAAAAAGGAGAGCCACGCUGCAAAUGCCAAAGACAUGAAAUUUAUCAUAGAGAUGGUUAUUCAUGCACUUUUUACCUUAAAAAUUUGAAGUACUCGUAGAGACAUGAGAUUUAUAUGUAUGCAAUUUUAGAUAGAAGUUGCAGAUAAAUUUCAAUUUUUUGUAUUGAUAUAUUUAUUGAUUCAUUA